UAAAAAAACAAAUCUUGAUUUCCGUGUCCAACGUUUGACCGUCCGUCUUAUUUGAAAAAAUUAUGAAAAAAAUUAAAAAGACAAGUCACUUAUAAAAUAUUAAUCAUAUUUUAUCAUCUAACAACAAUGAAAAUAUAAAUUAUAAAAAAAAUUCAUAUAAAACGGAUAGUUAAAGUUGGAUACAGUGUUUGUCUUUUUU
rfam:Oryza rufipogon genomic scaffold, chr04